rnacentral:rRNA from 1 species
CAGCCGCCACGGGAAUACAGAGGGUGCAAGCGUUAAUCGGAAUUACUGGGCGUAAAGCGCGCGUAGGUGGUUCGCCAAGUUGGAUGUGAAAUCCCCGGGCUCAACCUGGGAACUGCAUCCAAAACUGGCGAGCUAGAGUAUGGUAGAGGGUGGUGGAAUUUCCUGUGUAGCGGUGAAAUGCGUAGAUAUAGGAAGGAACAUCAGUGGCGAAGGCGACCACCUGGACUGAUACUGACACUGAGGUGCGAAAGCGUGGGGAGCAAACAGGAUUAGAUACCCCCGUAGUCCCUGUCUCUUAUAC